UACGUAGGGUGCGAGCGUUAAUCGGAAUUACUGGGCGUAAAGGGUGCGCAGGCGGUCUUGCAAGUCAGAUGUGAAAGCCCCGGGCUUAACCUGGGAAUUGCGUUUGAAACUAUAAGGCUAGAGUGCAGCAGAGGGGAGUGGAAUUCCAUGUGUAGCAGUGAAAUGCGUAGAGAUGUGGAAGAACACCGAUGGCGGAGGCAGCUCCCUGGGCUGACACUGACGCUCAUGCACGAAAGCGUGGGGAGCAAACAGG
rnacentral:rRNA from 1 species